GACAGAGGAUGCAAGCGUUAUCCGGAAUGAUUGGGCGUAAAGCGUCUGUAGGUGGCUUUUCAAGUCCGCCGUCAAAUCCCAGGGCUCAACCUCGAGACGUCGGUUGAAACCACCUGGCUAGAGUCCGGAAGAGGAGAGUGGAAUUCCCGGUGUAGCGGUGAAAUGCGCAGAUAUCGGGAAGAACACCCGUGGCGAAGGCGGCUCUCUGGGACGGUACUGACGCUGAGACGCGAAAGCGUGGGGAGCGAACAGG
rnacentral:rRNA from 1 species